GACGAGCGCUGGCGGCGUGCUUAACACAUGCAAGUCGAACGGAAAGGCCCUGCUUUUGUGGGGUGCUCGAGUGGCGAACGGGUGAGUAACACGUGAGUAACCUGCCCUUGACUUUGGGAUAACUUCAGGAAACUGGGGCUAAUACCGGAUAGGAGCUCCUGCUGCAUGGUGGGGGUUGGAAAGUUUCGGCGGUUGGGGAUGGACUCGCGGCUUAUCAGCUUGUUGGUGGGGUAGUGGCUUACCAAGGCUUUGACGGGUAGCCGGCCUGAGAGGGUGACCGGCCACAUUGGGACUGAGAUACGGCCCAGACUCCUACGGGAGGCAGCAGUGGGGAAUAUCGCACAAUGGGCGGAAGCCUGAUGCAGCAACGCCGCGUGCGGGAUGACGGCCUUCGGGUUGUAAACCGCUUUCGCCUGUGACGAAGCGUGAGUGACGGUAAUGGGUAAAGAAGCACCGGCUAACUACGUG
rnacentral:rRNA from 1 species